rnacentral:rRNA from 1 species
UACGGGGGGGGCAAGCGUUGUUCGGAAUUACUGGGCGUAAAGGGCUCGUAGGCGGCCAACUAAGUCAUACGUGAAAUCCCCAGGCUCAACCUGGGAACUGCGUCUGAUACUGGUUGGCUUGAAUCCGGGAGAGGGAUGCAGAAUUCCAGGUGUAGCGGUGAAAUGCGUAGAUAUCUGGAGGAAUACCGGUGGCGAAGGCGGCAUCCUGGACCGGCAUUGACGCUGAGUAGAGCGAAAGCUAGGGGAGCAAACGGG